GACGAACGCUGGCGGCGUGCUUAACACAUGCAAGUCGAACGGGAACCUUUAUUUCGGUAAAGGUGAGAGUGGCAAACGGGUGAGUAACACGUAGGCAACCUGCCGACAGGAUGGGGACAACAUUCCGAAAGGAAUGCUAAUACCGAAUGAAGUCACCGGAGGGCAUCCUCUGGUGAUGAAAGAUGGCCUCUGAAUAUGCUAUCACCUGUCGAUGGGCCUGCGUCUGAUUAGCCAGUUGGCGGGGUAACGGCCCACCAAAGCGACGAUCAGUAGCCGGUCUGAGAGGAUGAACGGCCACAUUGGGACUGAGACACGGCCCAGACUCCUACGGGAGGCAGCAGUGGGGAAUCUUCCACAAUGGGCGAAAGCCUGAUGGAGCAACGCCGCGUGAGUGAAGAAGGUCUUCGGAUCGUAAAGCUCUGUUGCACGGGACGAAAACUGGGUUUGAGAACAUUGAACCUGGGGACG
rnacentral:rRNA from 1 species